rnacentral:lncRNA from 1 species
AGCCAUUAGGAAAUACGGGCGAGAUUUUCAGGCAAUCUCAGAUGUGAUCGGGAACAAGUCAGUUGUUCAGGUGAAAAACUUUUUUGUGAAUUACCGGCGCCGCUUCAGCAUAGAUGAAGUUUUACAGGAGUGGGAAGCCGAGCAUGGCAAAGAGGAGGCCAACGGGCCCACCAACCAGAAGCCUGCCAAGUCCCCGGAAAGCUCUGUCAAGAUCCAGGAGGAGGAAGAUGAGGCUGCUUCUGUCCUCGACGUAAGAUAUGCAUCUGCCUCAUGAAAACUAUGGGUAGCUUUGAACACUUGGUAUGGACGACAUGUUAUCCAGAUAUCAGGUAUCCCAAGACAUCACCUAGCCAUCUGCAUCACAUCUCUGUGGACAAGCAGCUAUUACC